CUCCUAUACCCUGAACUGUUGAACCUGUCUUUGUUUUCCAUCACUAGACUGAACAAGCUGGAAGCCUUCAAGAAGAUUGUUGUGGAGGAGCUUGCCAACCUUGAGAAAGAUACUCAGAUCUUGAAAAACAUGGAGAAGGAUGCAGUGGACUUCUGGAAUGCACAGUUGCACAAACUGAAUUCUUUCUGCAACCAGCAGAAGCAAAGAAUUCAGUCUGUUGACUCAGCCCUGGGUGAGACAGCUGAGAGCUUUGCCAGUACACUUGUCAGCACCACACCCAAUGUCUCAAUGAAGAGUACAGUAGAGAAUGGUGUGUUCGUUGUUCCUUCUGACUAGCAGCCCUCUGAUUCACUGGAGUGUUUGAAAACACAGAUAAGAUGGUCUUCUGAAGGAGAUAAUAAUCUAUUUUAAUUGAAAGAAAAAUGAGGAGAGAGAAAAUAACAUUGAUAAUGAGUUUUUUGUUGUUAUAUUGUUUAAGAAUAGCAUAUGCUGGUUGAGUUGUUCCAUUUUGACCUGUAUCCAAAACGUUCCUCCAAAACUGUAAGAUAGGUGCAUUAAAUACCAAAGAAAUAGAAAAUGAACUAAGUAUAAUGAGUCAGCCAACAAACUGAUGCACAUUGGCCACUCAGCUCUGGACUGCAGAGAAGAAAGCAUGAAGGGAUCUACUGGAUGUUGGCCACAUGCCUGGUGGCAUUCUGCAGACUAAAGGGCAAGAAACCUGGAG
rnacentral:lncRNA from 1 species